GAUAGUGGUAGGAGCUAUGAGAGUAGUAGAUAUGAUGGUGGCAGUAGGAGCGGUGGUGGUGGUGGCGGCUCUUAUGGUAGUGAUUGUUGGGGUAAUGGUUCUUAUGGUCAUGGUUCUCCACCUCCUUUGGCGGCUAUUCCAUCCUAUGAUGGUUCUGGCAGUUACCCUCUGCCCAUGGGGUAUGGAAUGGAAGCAGUUCCCCUGCCUUCAAGCUAUGCUGGUGGUCCCCCUUCUUAUGGUGGUCCCACAGGGGGUUAUGGCAGUGAUGCACCGAGCAUUGGUGGUCGGGGUGGUAGAGGAUACGUCUUUAUGAUUCUUUAGAUCUCUAGCUUGGUUUCUUCUCUUCAAUCAUUACUUUCUUUAAAUCUGCUAAUGAUUUGAUUCGAUUCAAGCGGUGGUGGUUAUCAAGAAGGUGAUCGCGGUGUAAGAGUAGGUGGCGGCGGUGGCGGGAGAGGUGGUGGUGGCAGAGAUGGUGGCUGCAAAGAUGGUGAUUGGCGUUGCCCUAACCCAAGGUAAUUAUUUCUUUAGUCUUUUAAUCCAUUCUUUCUGCCUGUGUAAUGAUUGAAAUUGGAUUCUCUGUGGAAUAGUAUGUUUUGGAGUUGUUUAACCUUAAACUGUUUUGUAUAUAUAGUUGUGGGAAAGUGAACUUUGCAAGGAGACUUGAAUGUAACAAGUGUGGGGCACCUACUCCUUCUGGCACUUGUGAGUGGUGACCGAGGAGGUGGCCGAGGUGCCAGCGAUCGUGGUGGUGGUCGUGAUAGUGGUAGGAGCUAUGAGAGUAGUAGAUAUGAUGGUGGCAGUAGGAGCGGUGGUGGUGGUGGCGGCUCUUAUGGUAGUGAUUGUUGGGGUAAUGGUUCUUAUGGUCAUGGUUCUCCACCUCCUUUGGCGGCUAUUCCAUCCUAUGAUGGUUCUGGCAGUUACCCUCUGCCCAUGGGGUAUGGAAUGGAAGCAGUUCCCCUGCCUUCAAGCUAUGCUGGUGGUCCC
rnacentral:lncRNA from 1 species